CACUCUUGGGGGAGCUGGUGGCCUGGAGCUGCGGCCGGAGCCUGCUGGAGAACAGCUCAGAAGGAAGGAUGGAGAUGAAUGGCCGAGUGCCCUGCUUGCUGACGCACCGGUGGAUUUUUGCUUCUGCUGUUAUCUCGGCUCCUGGUCUCUCCAGUCCAACAAGAGGCCUCUCAUCCACAGAAGCAGUCCUACUGCCCAGCAGACCUCUUUCAGAGCCUUCCAGACAUGGCUGACCCCUGGCAAGCAAGGGGCUUUUUGAGCUGAGAGGCACUUGGCUGGGACUUCAGGAAUUCAUGGACAGGGCUGGCAGAUACUGCAUAUGUUUGAGCUGUAGAUGGGAUUGAGAACAGAAAGUUGAAAUGGAGACUUAUUAAAGUUACCGUGGAGAACUGCUCAAAAAUUCAUUUUGAAUUAAGGAAACUUAAAUUCAUUUUAAGUUUCCUUAGAUCUAAAUGCAACUGCACAUUACACUCAAAUAUGUUCCUUCCUUCUCACACACAGGACUCCCUUGUGAAACUCAAGGGGAAGUUCAAGUUGUCCAUCUUCAUCUAUGAAGUAGUCACUUUAUCACUGUCUUUACAGAUUGCACAGUCUGGGGUUUUGUGGUUUCUCUUGUCUCACUCUCCAGCCAGGAAGAACUUGUCAUUUGAGUUUUUAAAAUGUAUCAUUUCUUCCCCACCUCAAACCACUUGUAUCCCAGUUUCUCAUUUAAAGGGAGAAAUGGUUAUAUAGUCCUCUCUUUGCACCUGAUUGAAUUAUAAAUGAUAGAAACAAGAUGGCUAUACUUAUUUAGGAAAAAUCUCUUACCCCAAAAUGAGUGUGUGUGUGUGUGUGUGUGUGCGUGUGUGUGUGUGUGUGUGUUUUAAUCAAAGAUCUUUUCUGGAAAAAACUUUCCACAUAGUUCUCUGACCCAUUAGAGUUGAAGAAACUAUGUAUUUUGGGAUUCAGAGUAGAAUUGGCCUGCAAAUCUGGGGUGUUUAUUCCUUUUACAAGUCUAUCAUAAUUGUUCUACAUUUAAUUUUCCUUUCUUGCUUAAAAGUAAACAAGGAGAGUCAGGAGUGGUGGCUCAUGCCUGUAAUCCCAGCACUCUGGGAGGCCGAGGCGGAUGGAUCACCUGAGGUCAGGAGUUGGAGACCAGCCUGGCCAACACGGUGAAACCCCGUCUCUACUAAAAAUACAAAAAUUAGUCAGGCACAGUAGUGCGCGCCUGUAGUCCCAGCUACCCGGGAGGCUGAGGCCGAAGAAUUGCUUGAACCCGGGAGGCAGAGGUUGUAGUGAGCCGACAUCAUGUCACUGCACUCCAGCCUGGGAGACAUAGCGAGAUUCCGUCUCAAAUAAAAUAAAAUAAAUAAAUAAAUAAACAAGGAGAAAGAUUAGUUUUUAGUAAUAACAUUGUGUCCAAUUUCCAUGUUUUAAAACAAAAAUUGAGGCAUUAUAUGUCACAACUGAAAUGGAAAAGUUGUGUUUAAAAAUUAUGGACAAGGCCGGGCACGGUGGCUCACGCCUGGAAUCCCAGCACUUUGGGAGGCUCAGGCAGGAGGAUCACUUGAGGUCGGGAGUUUGAGACCAGUCUGACCAACGUGGUGAAACCCUGUCUCUACUAAAAAUACAAAAAUUAGCUGGUGUGGUGGCAGGUGCCUGUAAUCCCAGCUACUCAGGAGGCUGAGGCAGGAGAAUCGCUUGAACCUGGGAGGCAGAGGUUGCAGUGAGCCGAGAUCACACCUCUGCACUCCAGCCUAGGUGACACAGCAAGACCCCAUCUCAAAAAAAAAUAAUAAUAAAAACAUAAAAAUUAUGGACAAGAAAAAACACUAUUCUGGAAGCUUUGUUUUGGCAACAAAUUAUAUGACCUGACCUUUCAUAAGUCAUUUAAACUUUAGGGCUAGGCCAGGUGCUAUGGCGCAUGCCUAUAAUCCCAGCAUUUAGGGAAGUAGAAGCAGGAGGAUAGCUUGAGGCCAAGAAUUCCAGACCAGCCCAGGCAAUAUAGCGAGACCCCCGUCUCCACAAAAAUAAAAAAUAAAAUAAAAAUAAAUAAAUACAUAAACUUUAGGUCCUCUGUUUAUUCUGUCAAAUGAAAGUGUUAGGCCAAGGUCGCAUUAUCUCUUUGGAAACUACAUCGAGAACAGAAUUCCCAUGGAACGAACUCUUAAUAGUUCACUGGUAGUCCCCCUUUUCUGAAUAUUCUUCCCAACAUGACACUUUAUAACAAAAAUUUAACUGCAAAACUCUUUUUUUUUCACCAACAGCCAGAUUUUGAUGAGAAAAUGGCCAUAUUUAUUUACUCCAAAUAUAUAUUAUGUCUGUGAUAAUUUGCCUAAACUGUUUAAGGAAUAUUAACAAGUAUGAUACUGCAUCGUGGUAUGUAGCAAAAAGAUAGGUAAUCUGACAUACAUGGAUGCAAGCAGCAUGGCUGUGAACCUGGAUAUAUUUAGAAAUGAUCUUCAGUGGAGUCCUUGAUGUGACAUUUUCCACUAAAACAUUCUUCUAACUCUGGUAUAUCUUAGUGUUUCGAACUAUAAUUUCCGUCUUCAAGCCAAGACAGCAGCUCUACAUCCUUACCUAGGUAAUUCAGGCAUGCGCCAGUAUUUUGGAGGGGUCCAAAUUAGAGUUAGUUAUGAUGGUAUAGAUCUUUAAAGUAUAGUCUAACCAAGCUUGCUCUGGUCUUUUGUGACAUCAAGGCUUCUCAGUCUGUAUUCACAUAAAGUUGAAACAACUAAUCAAUUCAGUGAAAAAAAAUCAGCAGAUUUCACUCAUACACUGGUGAUAUAUACCACUGGUAUUGGGUACAAUGUAAGGAGAGAGGAUUACCCAUCUCUUCAGUUACUUGUAAAAUAUGAUUUUAAAAAAAUAAAUCAAUACAUUUUGGAAAAAUUAUAUGACUUUGUGCUUAUAUUUAUGCAACAAUAUGCUAGCUUAUAACAGGGUUUUACUGUGUUAUUUUGAUAGUUGUUUAAAUUUUACAUUUAAACUAUUUGUAUUUUGGCAUCCCAAAACAUAAUAAAACACUGCAAAAAGUUACCUCUGUAAUAUAAGAUUUUGUAUAAAUUUUAUAAAUUUGUGUCAUAGGGUAAUUUUGUCCAAUAAAAUGUCAAUGAGAUAAAAAC
rnacentral:lncRNA from 10 species